GCUAGAGAUUGCUGAUUUACGGCUUGACGGAAAAGCACUGCAGCCUCUUGGGAAGUGGGGGCAACCCUCUCCUUUCUACCAGUGUUCUCUGCGGCCGCCUGCCCGUCUGCCUGUCACCCUCACUUGAGAGCAUCUGUGUCCAGGGCUCCUCCCGACCUCGUCGACUGUUCCUGCUCUCCACAAUUCCGUGAUGCCUGUAGGAAGUACAGCCUGUCCUCUGUCACCGUGCUCUGCCGGAACUGUCCUCCAGCACUGGGGAUGCAGGAAAGCGGGGAGCACCCAGAAGACCCUCUGAGAUGCCGUGGAGCACGCAAUCGUCCUGACUGGCAGCUAUAG
rnacentral:lncRNA from 1 species